rnacentral:rRNA from 1 species
UACGUAGGGGGCUAGCGUUGUCCGGAAUCAUUGGGCGUAAAGCGCGUGUAGGCGGCUGGGUAGGUCCGCUGUGAAAACUCGAGGCUCAACCUCGAGACGUCGGCGGAAACCAUCCAGCUAGAGUCCGGAAGAGGAGAGUGGAAUUCCUGGUGUAGCGGUGAAAUGCGCAGAUAUCAGGAAGAACACCCGUGGCGAAAGCGGUUCUCUGGGACGGUACUGACGCUGAGACGCGAAAGCGUGGGGAGCGAACAGG